GCAGAUAUACUGUAAAAGAAAUGCCAGCCGGGAUCAUCUCAUCCCCACUUUUUAUUUCUACCCAACAUAUAGUAUAUCAAAAAUAUACAUAAACCAAUGUGACCUUCCUUUUUUAAGGCAGUACGAUUUGCUUUGAUUGAGAUUUGGCUGUUAAUGCUGAGCCUCAGACCAGUUCUUGUCCAGCAAAGGCAAUACCAAAGACGUUUCAGUAAUGACCUCUCCACCUUUCACUCAGACAGGGUAACUAGGGCUACAUUGGUUAAAGUGUUCUUCUU